rnacentral:rRNA from 1 species
ACUGCUCAGUAACACGUGGAUAACCUGCCCUUGGGACCGGCAUAACCCCGGGAAACUGGGGAUAAUUCCGGAUACCGCAUAUAUGCUGGAAUGCUUUAUGCGUGAAAUGGAUUCGUCUGCCCAAGGAUGGGUCUGCGGCCUAUCAGGUAGUAGUGGGUGUAAUGUACCUACUAGCCUACAACGGGUACGGGUUGUGAGAGCAAGAGCCCGGAGAUGGAUUCUGAGACAUGAAUCCAGGCCCUACGGGGCGCAGCAGGCGCGAAAACUUUACAAUGCGGGAAACCGUGAUAAGGGGACACCGAGUGCCAGCAUCAUAUGCUGGCUGUCCAGGUGUGUAAAAUACACCUGUUAGCAAGGGCCGGGCAAGACCGGUGCCAGCCGCCGCGGUAACACCGGCGGCCCGAGUGGUGAUCGUGAUUAUUGGGUCUAAAGGGUCCGUAGCCGGUUUGGUCAGUCCUCCGGGAAAUCUGACAGCUCAACUGUUAGGCUUUCGGGGGAUACUGCCAGACUUGGAACCGGGAGAGGUAAGAGGUACUACAGGGGUAGGAGUGAAAUCUUGUAAUCCCUGUGGGACCACCUGUGGCGAAGGCGUCUUACCAGAACGGGUUCGACGGUGAGGGACGAAAGCUGGGGGCACGAACCGGAUUAGAUACCCGGGUAGUCCCAGCCGUAAACGAUGCUCGCUAGGUGUCAGGCAUGGCGCGACCGUGUCUGGUGCCGCAGGGAAGCCGUGAAGCGAGCCACCUGGGAAGUACGGCCGCAAGGCUGAAACUUAAAGGAAUUGGCGGGGGAGCA